UACGAGGGGAGCAAGCGUUGUUCGGAUUUACUGGGCGUAAAGGGCGCGUAGGCGGCAUGACAAGUCACUUGUGAAAUCUCCGGGCUUAACUCGGAACGGCCAAGUGAAACUGUCAAGCUAGAGUGCAGAAGGGGCAAUCGGAAUUCUUGGUGUAGCGGUGAAAUGCGUAGAUAUCAAGAGGAACACCUGAGGUGAAGACGGGUUGCUGGGCUGACACUGACGCUGAGGCGCGAAAGCCAGGGGAGCAAACGGG
rnacentral:rRNA from 1 species